AAUCUAGCAAAAAGACUAAGUUCCAAAUGUAUUUUCUUUCUUUUUGUUUUUAAUAAAAUUUACCUUUUUAAAGAACAGGAUUGGAUUUUUGUGUCCUAAGUGGUUUGUGCACUUUUUGUUUAAUUACCUGGUGGCAAUAGCUAAUUUCCUUUGUUUUCUUUCUCAGCUCUUCCCGGGGGCAGGUGUGUGUGCGUGUG